rnacentral:rRNA from 1 species
AUGGACUCGACAGGGGCCGAGCCGCUGGCGCUGCGGCCGCACGUCGUGCUGCUCGCCAGCCCCGGCGCCGGCCACCUCAUCCCGCUGGCCGAGCUGGCGCGGCGGCUCGUCGACCACCACGGCUUCGCGGCCACGCUCGUCACCUUCACCGACCUCUCCACCCCGGAGGCCCUCUCCGGCGUCCCUGCCUGCGUCGCCACAGCCGCGCUCCCGUCCGUCCAGCUCGACGACCUCCCCGACGGCACUUCCAUGGAGACCGUGCUCUUCGAGCUCGUCCACCGUUCCCUCCCUAACCUGCGCGCCAUCCUCCGUUCCGUCGGCGCCCCCCUCGCCGCGCUGGUGCCCGACUUCUUCUGCUCCGCGGCGCUGCCGCUCGCCGCCGAGCUCGGCGUCCCGGGGUACGUCUUCGUGCCCAGCAACCUCACCACCAUCGCGCUCAUGCGCGCCACGGUGGAGCUCCACGACGGCGUUCCACCCGGCGAGUACCGCGACCUCCCCGAGCUUCUCUGUCUCCCAGGCGGUGUCUCGCUGCGCCGUACCGACCUCCCGCGCUCGUUCCAGAGCAGCAACGAGCCGGUCUACGCGCACCUCGUCGAGGAGGGCCGGCGCUACCGCGGCGCCGACGGCUUCCUGGUGAACACCUUCUACGAGUUGGAGCCCGCCGCCGUCGAAGAGUUCAAGCAGGCGGCAGGGCGAGGCGCGUUCCCGCCCGUGUUCCCCGUGGGUCCGUUCGUCCGGCCAAGCACAAGCUCCGACGACGCCGCCGGCGCGUCCGCGUGCAUAGAGUGGCUAGAUCGCCAGCCGACUGGGUCAGUGGUGUACGUCUCCUUCGGUAGCGCGGGUCGCUGA